UUUAAAAUUAAGUAAGUAUAUAAAAUUUUGUUGUUAAGAGGGCUAUCACAAAUUUUCGCGAAUUUAAACGUUUUAUACGAGUUUUGAUGCUUUGGAUAUAGUCACAAUAAAAAAACAAAAAUAAGAUUCAGAAAGUUUGAUCAUUUAUCUUGAAAGUGUAUUAAAUAAAUAUUUUAAUUUGUCCACGUACAUCAGUAAAAUCUUUGUCUCUGCAAAGGAUGUUUCAUAAAAUGUUGCUUUUGGGUAUCUUUUGAUGCUUCGGUACUCCGAGGAUAUAGCAAUUUAACCAUUUAUAAAAAUGUUCAAGAUACAACUAUAUCUUGUACUUGGAAGUGCUUAAAUCAAUUUAUUACAAUUCAUACAGUAUUACACCAAAAAUAAUUCUAUAAAACUGAGAGUUACUGACAAUUUUCCGUACGAAACUAUAUUUUUUAUCUAUGAAAGUAUAAUCCAAAUUCAAAUAAAAAACAUUUAAUAAUUAAGGUGGUAUUGUUAUAAAGCUUGAAAAAAAAAUUGGUCUGUUUAAAAGUAAAACAAUAUUUUAAAAUAAUUUUUGUUUGCAAUGCAAAAAUCAAUAUAAAUCUUGUGACGCGCGGUGUUCAACUUUAGUCAGCGCCAGGCGCUUACCGAGGAGGGACGGAUCGCUCGCUGUUGCGCCGCGUAAACUCGCCGGAGUUCGAAAAAUAUAGCGCAACCUACGCAUCUAACACGUUUUGAUACUAGAUAAUGAAAGCAUAUUUAAUUCAGACUAUCAGACUCAAUUGAAUACCAGUACAAAUAAUAUGGAAAAUGAAGAUACAAUACAUGGAAGACGAAUUAUAGAUUUUAGUUUUUUUAUAAAUCAAUUACUUAUAAUUGAUAAACAUGGUGAAAAGUUUGGUUGUCGAUGAAAUAAUUUAAAAAUUGUAAACGAUUACUUGUUUAUUGUAACUCAAUCGAGCUAUUCUAGGUUAUAAAAUUCAUCGGUACAAAUAAUAUUUCAUAAACUAUAAAAACAAUAAAUUAUUUCGGAAAAAAGUGGCAAAGUCUCAAGUUUGUUUGUGCCGCGUGGCGGUCCGCAGGUGUGCAUUGCGUAUUUCACUAGACGCACACAUGCGCAAGUGCUGCCGGCUAUCGUCUAAUUUACCUACAACUGAGCAAUUCGAUUUUGUAAUAGCGCUCUUAACAAAUUGUCUCCGCUCACUGUGCAUGUGUGUAAUGUCCCUGAAUGCAGAAAUUCUAUUGUUUGUUUAAAAA
rnacentral:lncRNA from 1 species